rnacentral:rRNA from 1 species
UACGGAAGGUCCAGGCGUUAUCCGGAUUUAUUGGGUUUAAAGGGAGCGCAGGCGGGUGCUUAAGCGUGCUGUGAAAUGUACCGGCUCAACCGGUGAGUUGCAGCGCGAACUGGGUGCCUUGAGUGUAUUCGAUGUCAGCGGAACUCGUGGUGUAGCGGUGAAAUGCUUAGAUAUCACGAAGAACCCCGAUUGCGAAGGCAGCUGACAAGUCUAUUACUGACGCUAAAGCUCGAAGGUGCGGGUAUCGAACAGG